ensembl:lncRNA
CUCUGACAGGGAGCUAAGCAGUGCUCCCAUGCUCUGCGCCUGCUCCUAAGGGUCUCGACUGAAAUCGAGAGAGGGAAAACCUUCAAGUAUAAUGUUCCUUCAGCUUAAAACCUCAUCUGUAAAGGCAUCCAACCAGACGGCAGAGUUCAAAGCGGGACAGCUGCCAAUCUGAUCCCAGACAUACUGAAAGAACACUGCAAAAUGGCAGGAAAUUCCACUUUGAACAACUCCCAACAACAGCAACAGCACAGAAGAUGCAUUUAAAACCAGGCCAUGAGCCUGUUACAUAAGGGUACAGAGUGAGACUUCAACAAAAGGUGUAUAUUUCUCACGGGGACAAGAAAAAGAGAGCAUGUUGUGGUUAAAAUAGAAAUGCCAACAUAAUUAUAUAUAUAAUAGGCCUAUAUAUGUGUGUGUGUGUGUGUGUGUGUGUGUGUGUGUGUGUGUGUGUGUGUGUGUGUGUGUGUGUGUGUGUGUGUGUG